rnacentral:lncRNA from 1 species
AGGAAGUUUUCUGUUUCUAAACUUAGAAACUUUAGAGAGUACUUAUUCUAAUUCUUUCAUUUUCCAGUUGAGAAAAAGGAGAGGUUAAAUGCCUUGAUCAAAAGCACACAAAUAGUUAAAGGAGAAACCAAUAUUAGAAGAGAAUUUUUUGACUGCAGUUGGAUUCUCCUCCCACAUACAGGGAUGCCUCAGAUGGAUGAAGUAUUGGCCUCCUCUACUAGAAACAAAGAAACAACUAAUUUAUGGUUCAAAACAUCAAGAACCCAUCAUUUUUUUUCCUAUCAGCCAGAGGUCAAGAGAGGACCAGGCACAGAAGCCCCACCAAAAAAGAAAAAAAAAAGGGAAGCAUAUGAUGAAAGGAAGCCCAUCAUGACAGCUGGUACCUAAGAAAAAUGUCCAGCACUAGCAGGAACCCAAGUGGUAUUAGAGCAAUCCCUUACCACCGCAUCUGAAGAUUCAUUUCCAUUCUAUUCAACAGGCAAUUGUUAAGGGCCUGUUCUCUAUCAGAGGCAGCCCAAUGUGAUGGCCUGAGAGCUGGCCUCAAAGCCACCCUCAAGAGGUCAGUCAGGUCCUGCCUUGGACACAUUUUGGCUGUGUAACCCUGUAGGGAACUCCAAUUACGUGUAGCCAAGAAGAUGCUGACCCACAUUGGUAGAAUUUUAUCAUUAAAACCAUCAACUACUC